UGAUUUGUUUCUUCCACUCUUCUACUACCCAAAAUAAAAAUUUUUUGACAAAGAUGUACGUUCAACUUAAUAUAAGUUCUGACUGUAAAGAAAACCAUUGUUAUCGAUUAAUUAGUAAAGCUGAUGCCAUAAAACAUUGUUAAAAUUAGAAUCAUUAAAUGCAGUUUUGAAAUAUAUUAAAAUGAAGAACAGAUCAACACAUCAUAAAUGGAAUGAUACAUUUCAGCUUGCUGAAAUGAGGAAAACGACGGGGAAGUGGAAAUGUAUUUUCAUGAAACGACACAAAAAUGGAAUCUCCUGAAAUUAACAUAUGAUUAUUGUAGUUCUAAAAUAUAAAUGAGAAAAAUUAUUAUACUAUCGUAAUCGCUCUAUAAGGCACAAUAUAUCAUCGAACGUUCCUAAAAUAUAUAUAGUUAAAAAUUAAAUGAGACAACAAAUUAUCCAGGAAAACUCGGAAUUAUCUACAAAUGAAAAUAAGCUUAUCUCUAAAAACAAUGAAAAAGAAAACGAAGAUGGUAAUGACGAUAAUGAAAACGUGAUGAUGAAAAUAAUACUUUAGUUGACCAAGACAAAGAAGAAAGAAUGGAAUGACAUGAAAUUAAAUAAUGAAAAUAUUGUAUAUAUUUAGAAGAUAAAGAUAAAACGACAAAUGCACAUUUGUUUGACCUACGAAGACAUAUUGAAUUUUCAUAAUAUAGACCAAACUAUAAUUCGAUAGAUAUGCAACAUUAGAGAACUAUGGUUAUGCUAAUCUGAUUGAUACUUUCAAGAUUUUAGCUUGGAUUGUAAUCGAGUGAUUACAAAUAGAUUUUCAUUCAUAAAAUUCAUAAAAUUACUAAAUAUAUUUGUCAAAAAUUUAAUUUUCAUCCUAUAGAUCUCGAAAUAAGUUAAAAGUCAUAUUGUUUACUCAGAUAACGAUUAUUAAUUAUAUAAAAAGAGUAAUACUUUAUCUCUUACUUGACUAAUGAAAUGAUUAAGAAAAACUAUAGCUAUAUAAAUAAUUAAGGCACUUAAUUUGUUAUCAAUGGUAUUAUUCUAUUUAAUAUUAAUUAGAAUCUCUAUUCUAAGUGUACAAAUUUAUUAUGUUCAGAGAAAUACAAUAUUUAAAUGAGCCACUGAUAUAAUGGGUGCUAUAUAAAUGGGAAAAUUAACUGAAAUACUUUUUAAUGUAAAGUCUCUUUUGAUACAGGAAACGUCUACGAUUAUAGAAUCAUCUACUUUUGGAUAAAUUGACAAAGGAGAUAACUUCUGUGACAAAGAAAUAUAUGCGUAAGGAAGAAAAUACGAAAUUCUAUAGUGAAAGACAACAAAACUGCAACAAGAGAUAUAUAAGUUCCAUGUAAAGUAUCGUAAUUAGUUCUACUACAAAUUUGUGGGAAAAUUGAAAUUAGCAGUAAAAGAAGAAAUCUAAAAUUAUGCAACAAAGGAAGAAAGUAAACAAGAAGAAAAACGCUUAGUAAACAUCUUUAGUUAUAUGCACCUGCACCUCUACUGACACGCUUUUUCAAAUUACGAUAAAUUCAUGGUACUGAUGUGAUAUUGCCACAUCUUGAUAUAUCACUCUUUUCCUCUGUGUUUCCACUGUGCAAUUGCUUCUUCUAAAGGAACAGUGUUUUAUCGCUGAAGAAGAAGAGGAAAGAAAGGGCAGUCAGUUUUAAUUCAAUAAUCAACGAUCUUAAUUACAGAAUGUCUAAAAUAAAUCUUUCCAAUCGGUUUAUAACCCUGUAAAUCUAUUAAUAUAUACAUAUUUGUGUUAUAUUUAAUCUAUUUUUACUCUUUAAAUUAUAUUAAUUGCUAAUGAUUGACCUACACUAUUUCUUACAAAUAUGAAGGAAGAGAAAUAAACUAUGAGAAUGUUUGGAUUGUCAGAAAA